AGCUUGCUGGUUGGAGAUUAUGUUCAGUGCUGGGGGGUAGGGGGAGAAGAAAUGGAAAGUCAGGCAUGGCCUAAACACGCAUCGAUUGCUUCAUUUGCGAGCUGUGCCCGCAUCAGCCUAAGUGAGGGUGACGGUGGCCUAAGUAAGGGAAUGUCUACAUCUCGUAUAUACACAAGGGAUCUUCAGUGAUCACUGUUCUCUUCAGUCAGAUCUUUACCCAUCACCAGAUUCUCCAAUUCCAGUCAUCCCAUUACAGGGAGGAGGAGGAGGAGGAGGAAGCAGCUUUGGAAAAGGUUUGGAUGAAAUCCACCAGGAUUUGAAGGCAGGUGUUACAAGGAGAGGCUGGAGCAAAUUUGGGCUAUUUUCUUUGGAGCAGUGGAAGCUGAGGGGAGACCUGAGACGAAGUUGUAAAGUUACGAGAACUGUGGAUGAGCUCCACAGGGAUUCCCAUCAGCCCUCUGAGGCUCCUUGCAACAGGUCAGCAUAAGGCCACAACGUAAAGGCAAGUCGCUGAGAGUGAUGGAUUAGAAAGAACAGAUAACAUCCAACAAUAUCAUAUUGGAAGAUCUGUCCUGAGACCAGCAUGCAAGUGCUAUUGUGAAGAAAGCGCAGCAGUGUCUGCAUUUUCUUAGUGCGGAUUCAGCAUGUCAUCUAAAAUGCUAACAAACUUCUAGAAAUGCAUGGUAGAGAGUAUCCCGACUGGCUGCGUCGUGGCCCGUCUUGGAAGCACCGAACAAGCCCAGGAACAAAAAUGUCGACCAACAGUAACAGUAAAAGCCCACCCCAUCACAGGGAAAGCUCUCGCCUCCACUGAGCACAUCUACAAGGAGCACCCAUCGAGGACCCCCACCAUCCAGGCCACGCUCUCUUCCCGCUGCUGCUGACGGGAAGGGGGCACAGAAGCUUAGGCCCCAGACCAUCACCAGGGUGCAGAACAGUUAUUACCCUACAACCAUCAGGCUGCUGAACUAGCGUGGAUAAUUUCACUCACUACUACUCCGAAUUGGUUGUAUAAUCCACAGAGUCACUUUCAAGGAUUUUGCACGACUCAAGUCCUCAGUAUUAUUUUUAAUUUGCACAAUUUGUCUUCUUAUGCACACUGG